rnacentral:rRNA from 1 species
GACGAACGCUGGCGGCGUGCUUAACACAUGCAAGUGGAGCGACGAACCAGGGCUUGCCCUGGGGCAGAGCCGCGAACGGGUGAGUAACACGUGGGUUACCUACCCCGAUGACCGGGACAACCCGAGGAAACUCGGGCUAAUACCGGAUGUGGUCUUCGGACGAAAGGAAGCUUCGGCCUCCGCAUCGGGAUGGGCCCGCGGCGCAUUAGCUUGUUGGUGGGGUAACGGCCUACCAAGGCGACGAUGCGUAGCNGGUCUGAGAGGACGAUCAGCCACACUGGGACUGAGACACGGCCCAGACUCCUACGGGAGGCAGCAGUGGGGAAUCUUGCGCAAUGCGCGAAAGCGUGACGCAGCAACGCCGCGUGGGGGAAGAA